rnacentral:rRNA from 1 species
UACGUAGGGGGCAAGCGUUGUCCGGAAUUAUUGGGCGCAAAGCGCGCGCAGGCGGCCUUGUAAGUCUGUCGUUUAAACUCGGAGCUCAACUUCGAGUCGCGAUGGAAACUGCAAAGCUUGAGUGCAGAAGAGGAAAGUGGAAUUCCACGUGUAGCGGUGAAAUGCGUAGAGAUGUGGAGGAACACCAGUGGCGAAGGCGACUUUCUGGGCUGUAACUGACGCUGAGGCGCGAAAGCGUGGGGAGCAAACAGG